rnacentral:tRNA from 1 species
UGCGGAUAUGGCGGAACUGGCAGACGCGCUGGACUUAGAAUCCAGUCCGAGAGGGUGCAGGUUCGAUUCCUGUUAUCCGCAU